UACGGAGUGUGCAAGCGUUACUCGGAAUCACUGGGCAUAAAGCGCGCGUAGGCGGCUCGGCAAGUCGGUCGUGAAAUGCCGGGGCUCAACCCCGGGACUGCGUCCGAUACUCCCGAGCUGGAGGCAGGUAGGGGAGAUCGGAAUUCCUGGUGUAGCGGUGAAAUGCGCAGAUAUCAGGAGGAACACCGGUGGCGAAGGCGGCGUUCUGGACUGCAACUGACACUGAGAGACGAAAGCCAGGGGAGCAAACGGG
rnacentral:rRNA from 1 species